rnacentral:rRNA from 1 species
UACGGAGGGUGCAAACGUUGCUCGGAAUCAUUGGGCGUAAAGCGCACGUAGGUGGCCUGUUAAGUCGGGUGUGAAAUCCCUGGGCUCAACCCAGGAAGUGCACUCGAAACUGGCAGGCUUGAGUACUGAAGAGGGUCGCGGAAUUCCCGGUGUAGAGGUGAAAUUCGUAGAUAUCGGGAGGAACACCAAUGGCGAAGGCGGCGACCUGGGCAGAUACUGACACUGAGGUGCGAAAGCGUGGGGAGCAAACAGGG